UUAAAGUUUGAUUAUAUCUUUAUUUCUUGUGAUUUGUAUUGAAUUUGUAUGAAGGUUAAAGCGAGUAGCUAGCGGUAGUCAAAGGCGAGCCGUUAAGGCAAUAGUAGUUAGGCUAUUAAUCAGAAAUUCUCAGCAUAUAAUAUUAGACAAUCUAAUAACUUAAGAUUUAGCAAUACGUUAAAGCUUGAUCAAUACUGUGCCAGCAGUCGCGGUUACACUUUAGAGUUAAAUAAGAAGUAUCGGCUUAUUGUUAAGCGAAUAGAAUUAUAAUUGAUAGAAAUCUAGAAGAAAAAAAAGUGAAAUUAGUUUUUCUUUUGUGGAGUUAUGAGUAGUAGUCAAUAAAAGCUGAAGCAAUAAAAAACUGGAUCUAAACUAGGAUUAGAUACCCUAUUAUACCAGAAAUCAAUUUAUAUAAGCCUAAGUAAUAAUAGUUAUGUUCUAAAAAUUUGAAAAACUUGGCGGUGAUUUAGUCUAGUCAGAGGAACCUGUUUUUAAAUCGAUAAACCACGAAUAAUCUUGCUCAAAUUUGUAUAGUAUGUAUACCAUCAUUAUUAGGUAAUUUUUAUAGAAUUAAUUACUAGGAUGUUUAAUAAUGUUAAAUAUAUUAGAUCAAGGUGCAGCUUAUGUUUGAGUUAAAAUGGGUUACAAUAAAAUUUAUUUAUUACGAAUAAGUAAUUUAAAUACUACUUGGAAGGAGGAUUUGAUUGUAAAAUAAGUUUAAUAUGCUUAUUAGAUAUAGGCUCUAAAUCGUGUACAUAUCGCCCGUCGCUUUCAUUUUAAGAUGAGAUAAGUCGCAACAUAGUAGGCUUACUGGAAAGUGAGCCUGGAUAGGAA
rnacentral:ncRNA from 1 species